rnacentral:rRNA from 1 species
AUUGAACGCUGGCGGCGUGACCUAACACAUGACAAGUCGAGCGGUAACAGGUGUAGCAAUACAUGCUGACGAGCGGCGGACGGGUGAGUAACGCUUGGGAAUCUGCCUGUUAGUGGGGGACAACCCGGGGAAACUCGGGCUAAUACCGCAUACGCACUACGGUGGAAAAGCCGGGGACCGCAAGGCCUGGCGCUAACAGAUGAGCCCAAGUCGGAUUAGCUAGUUGGUAGGUAACGGCCACCAAGGCGACGAUCCGUAACUGGUCUGAGAGGACGACCAGUCACACCGGAACUGAGACACGGUCCGGACUCCUACGGGAGGCAGCAGUGGGGAAUAUUGGACAAUGGGCGAAAGCCUGAUCCAGCGACGCCGCGUGGGUGAAGAAGGCCUGC